rnacentral:lncRNA from 1 species
GAGGCAGGAAUCAAACCUACAUCUCUCUGGCUCCAAAGCCCUUACUGUUUGCUGAGGAUGGCAGUCAAGAAAUGAUCUACUAGAGUCAAGGUCAUAUAGCAUAUAGAUGAUCCAGAAUCAGCACAAUUUGGGGAGAAGAAAAAGAAUCAGCUCAUCUGGCUGCAGAAUAUGUCUGCUUGACUCCUAAGAUGCUGACUGAGCUGGAAAUCACAAAGAGAAGUCUAAGGACUGGGAACUCCAAAUGAACAUUUGCCUUCUACAGUGUGUUUCAAAAUAUGUUUUAUUUGUGUAAUGUUCAGAAAAUUAUAUUUCUGUCGAUAAUUACUUGGAAAUAUCUGUAUAAUUUAACACUGCAAUUGAUUAGUUUUAAUGGCAUACACACCCCCAUGUCCCUGGGAGCCUGUUCUCUCAGCAGGAGAAUGGUUGAAACAUGGGGCAUGUCUCCAAAAGGACUGCUAGACGUGCUAGAACUUGCAACAGAAACUGGAUAUAUCAAGGCAGCGUGCGUUAAUGGUUAAUUUUGCCUCCCAACACACAUACACACACACAUUUUCAUAUUGGGUUAAUUUACUGAUAUCACCUUACUCAGAUCUUGCUUUUUCAUCAGAUUCUUGAGCAAAUGCUAGGUGAGUCCCUGGGACCUAUGAGAGUCCCAUUAGCUGCAUUCCCAUAGCUUCCACACAGCAGGACACUCUAUUAUUUUAUCAGCCCCAUUCAAACUUACAAAAAGAACUGUUUCUACAUGGGCCAAUACUCUAAGUGCUGAUUUCAGACCAAGGCUUGCUGCUCAUACAGAACUCCAGAAAUGAGGAGAUGAGUGGAAAUCCAAACAGGCCCCCAGCACCGGCAGAUGCAAUGAUUGCUUCACAAAUUUCAUUUGCACAGAGGUAGAAAAGAAAGAGUGAAAGUGGGUCCUUAGUGAAGAAAUGUAGUGUUACAGAACAUUCUUUUUCUGUAAUAGGAGAAAACUGGACUGAUGUAAACUGAUUUUAUCCUCACUGAUCUUUUUCUUAAAAUUCAUGUUUAUCGCAAGCAGCAUGCAGCUGGUUAUUUCACGCUUUCCAACAGAUUUCUGGCUUUUGAAUAGAUUUUAAUAAAAAAAAAUCUUUUCAUGGAUUCCUGAUUUGUUUGCUUGGUGGGGACCACUCUUUGGUGGAAAUUAUAAUUGGGUAUUAUGUAUCCUAAUAACUUGAGCUUACAGGAUAGACGUC